rnacentral:rRNA from 1 species
GAUGAACGCUGGCGGCGUGCCUAACACAUGCAAGUCGAACGGAGAUUACGGACGGAAGCUUUCGGAUGGAAGACUGUAAUUCUUAGUGGCGGACGGGGGUGUAACGCGUGUGCGACCUGCACUAUACAGGGGGAUAGCAGCUGGAAACGGCUGGUAAGACCACAUAAAUGGGUCAGACCGCAUGGUUUUGCCGGCAGAUGAGCAAUCAGGUAUAGGAUGGGCCCUCGUCCGAUUAGCCAGUUGGCAGGGUAAAAGCCUACCAAAGCAACGAUCGGUAGCCGGACUGAGAGGUCGGACGGCCACAUUGGGACUGAGACACGGCCCAAACUCCUACGGGAGGCAGCAGUGGGGGAUAUUGCACAAUGGAGGAAACUCUGAUGCAGCGACGCCGCGUGAGUGAAGAAGUAUUUCGGUAUGUAAAGCUCUAUCAGCAGGGAAGAUGAUGACGGUACCUGACUAAGAAGCCCCGGCUAACUACGUG